rnacentral:lncRNA from 1 species
ACCAUAAUAAGUAGUCUGAACUUAAAAACUGCGCCAAACACAUUGACUAUCACUUAAAACACAUCUCUCUAAUUCUAAAAAUAAAACUAAUAGUUCAAUUUAUGCACAAGUCAUACUACUAAUACUACUGGCAGAAUAUUUAUGCAAAUAUGAAAGUUCAGCAGUCCCAUUAAUUACAAAUAAGCACAAUUCAAUGUGAAAUAACUGAAAUCUACAGUAAAACUAGGUGUCAACUUUAUUUCAUUCCUUAAACUUGAGGUCUACAUCAGAUUGAAUCCAGAAAAUGUAGCUGGAGAUUAAGUGCAAUACGAAGAAGGAGAAUUAAUAGCAAAUAGCAAAACAACAGCUCGAAUUCAAGUGUACAGUCCAGCAAACAGCACCAGAAUCAGUCCGAAAUUAGAAUUUGAAAACAUAGAACCAAUAAUCCACCAAAACAGACUUGAAUAAACCCAAAAUGAUUUGAAAUUAAUCACAGGAAAAUUUCUGAACUUCAGCAGCUUGAAAUGACCCAAAAUAGCAUGAACAAAACCCAAAACGACUUGGAAUUGGAUCUAGAAACACUAGGAACUUAGAUUAACAAACUAAGCUUGCAAUCAAAUUUAAAAUCUCAAUGUAACAGUAUACUUUGGAGUUUUUUGUGUUGUUUUACUCUCUUUUUUGUUUUUUGGAAGAUUUGGAAUUUGAAAUUCAACUUUCAAAUGGAAAACUUGGAGAACACUUUAGGGGAAUUUUCAGAUAUGGAAAAACAUGUGAGAUUUUUUUGUGGGAAUUUCAGAUGUUGAAACUUAAUAAACAAGGCAAUGACAUGCCUUUUUAUAAACAAAAAU